CAUAUACCCGCUAGCAACAUCAUGUAGCAGGAGGAAGUGUAGUGUGCGGUUUUGAUUCCUUUCCAUGGAUGUGUCACCACUGGUAUCAUGCAGGCUUCGAGAUGCUGCAAGGCUUCAAGCUAACACCAGAUGCACCGCUUUGAAGGCAAAACCGUUCAUGCUGAGGUGGUGAUUUGGCGAUGCAGUUAUAGCUCUAGAUAUACUCAAGAGACGUGACAGUAACCAGGCAACAAUCAAAUCGAGUUAACUGGCUAAGGCCUCCUGCAAGAUCUCAUUUUUACGCAAACCAGCCUAAAGUUUGACACCAGAGUGACGAGAUCCACAUGAUGAAAUUGUUAGAGAAACUGAAUUUUCUUGCCCCUGCUUCCGGUCUCUGCCAGGAGAUUAAAGUCAGGGAAACAUUACAGGAGGCUGGAUAAUUGCCCCUGUGUCUCCAGCAGACAAAAGGCAACGCUCCGGCAAUUCCCUCGGUAAAUUGUCAAGAGAGACUCAAGGAUCCUUCAAGGCUGCAGCAAAUUGUACAGUGCUGUCUAACAAACUACCAAUCUCUGGAUAUUAUGAGGCUUCCAUAUAUCCUUGGCCGUAAUGACAGCUUGCACUGCUAUAAUGGAGUGCAGGCACAAGAUAGCUUUUGGCUGAGUGCUGGCUGCAGCCACCAACAGAUGAUUGCAACCUUUACUCCUGAGGACCACUUGAUCCGCAGACAGGGGGAAAAAAAAAAAAUCCGCAAGCAGUUAAUGAGUUGCCAUCCUUUCCUAGUGUUAAGGGUGUCUACAAAUUAACAGAGGCUUUUGUCAGGGCUCUCCUUUGCUCUCUCUCUCUUGCUCCCCCCUUGCCUCCUCUUGCCGCCACUUUCUCUCCUCAUCCUUGCGCCCUCCCCUCCAUCACGCCCUUCCUCCUGCUCUUCAAUUUUCUCUCUCUACCUGCCUGCUUCACGCUCCAGUAGCUCAGUGGCGGGAGCAGCGCUGUCUGGCUUUGGCUCUGAGCAGCAUUUAUUGUCAGCGCGGUUCAUGUUUAGAAUUAGCCAUUUAAUGAGAACAAAAGAAAUUAAUUGGUGGUUUAAGCCUAAUGAGACGUCUGUGAAAUUAACAGGCCUCAUCAAUUGAAACAAAUAAAA